CAUCUAUUUUUACUAUUGCAAUUGUUUUCCUGUUUUCCUUUAUUCGGUAUGUUAACACAGGAGCCCGAGUCCAAGAGUUUUGCUUGAAUGCUUGCCUCUCUUAUUUUUCUUUUUUAAAUUUGGAUGCAACCUUGUAUUUCCAGAGAGCAACUGUUUUUUCCCACUAUUUAAAGAAAACGCGGAGGAGGCUGGGCCAUCUGACAGGCUGAACAAUGCUGGGCUGAUGUGGGAGGGCCUCAGACGUGGGGAUUCCGCACGGCCAGGCUGAAGUUCUGAAGGCUGAGAAGUUCAAGAUCAAGACACUGAUGGAUGAUGGAUCCAGUGUCUGCCCGAUUGGAUGUUCACUCUUACUCUGUCACACGGCACGUGUGGGAGGACAGGGAGCCGGAUGGAGCUGUUCAGAUGGAAUACGCCUCUCCACUUAGACCACUUGGAAAUAUCCAGAAUAUUUGUACCAGUACGGGAAUGUCUGAACAGUGGCACAGGAAAAGUGAAAGUAUCCAAAUGUCACUUUCCCCAAUGCAAAUGUUCUGCACUGCACGUGUAGUAUGUCAUCAUUGCCAUGCAUGCCUGAGAUGUGUUAGCCAUCGCCCAUUGAUACGGAACGGACUUAGCUGCCUCAUUCUACAAAUCAUGUCUCCUUUUGUCUCCAAAACCUGGUUGAAAAAAUUUUGCCUAAGAUGUCCCUUUUGAACUUCACAUUCAACAUGUCUACAAGACUUCUAUAUAACCAAAACCUCUGAUUCAUCUUUUUAAAUCUCCAUUCCCUUUUUCUCUAUUUAAUUAUAUACCAGUCUGUUUAUCAACCUAUUUUCCCCUCAAUAAAUAUCUACUGAGCAACUUUUGUGAUCUGGCCCUAAGGAGGCCCUUGAGUAUGUGAUGGGGAGGAAUCACAGACAUGGGCCCUGCCUCAUGGGGCAUCUGUAUGAUAGAGGAGACAGAUGUUACUCAAAUCAUCAUAGAUGUAAAAAAGGAAUUAUAACCAGGUCAAGAGCUCAAGGGAGAAAUAAGU